GACGAACGCUGGCGGCGUGCCUAAUACAUGCAAGUAGAACGCUGAAGAGAGGAGCUUGCUCUUCUUGGAUGAGUUGCGAACGGGUGAGUAACGCGUAGGUAACCUGCCUUGUAGCGGGGGAUAACUAUUGGAAACGAUAGCUAAUACCGCAUAACAAUAGGUGACACAUGUCAUUUAUUUGAAAGGGGCAAUUGCUCCACUACAAGAUGGACCUGCGUUGUAUUAGCUAGUAGGUGAGGUAACGGCUCACCUAGGCGACGAUACAUAGCCGACCUGAGAGGGUGAUCGGCCACACUGGGACUGAGACACGGCCCAGACUCCUACGGGAGGCAGCAGUAGGGAAUCUUCGGCAAUGGGGGCAACCCUGACCGAGCAACGCCGCGUGAGUGAAGAAGGUUUUCGGAUCGUAAAGCUCUGUUGUAAGUCAAGAACGAGUGUGAGAGUGGAAAGUUCACACUGUGACGGUAGCUUACCAGAAAGGGACGGCUAACUACGUGCCAGCAGCCGCGGUAAUACGUAGGUCCCGAGCGUUGUCCGGAUUUAUUGGGCGUAAAGCGAGCGCAGGCGGUUUGAUAAGUCUGAAGUUAAAGGCUGUGGCUCAACCAUAGUUCGCUUUGGAAACUGUCAAACUUGAGUGCAGAAGGGGAGAGUGGAAUUCCAUGUGUAGCGGUGAAAUGCGUAGAUAUAUGGAGGAACACCGGUGGCGAAAGCGGCUCUCUGGUCUGUAACUGACGCUGAGGCUCGAAAGCGUGGGGAGCGAACAGGAUUAGAUACCCUGGUAGUCCACGCCGUAAACGAUGAGUGCUAGGUGUUGGAUCCUUUCCGGGAUUCAGUGCCGCAGCUAACGCAUUAAGCACUCCGCCUGGGGAGUACGACCGCAAGGUUGAAACUCAAAGGAAUUGACGGGGGCCCGCACAAGCGGUGGAGCAUGUGGUUUAAUUCGAAGCAACGCGAAGAACCUUACCAGGUCUUGACAUCCCGAUGCUAUUUCUAGAGAUAGAAAGUUACUUCGGUACAUCGGUGACAGGUGGUGCAUGGUUGUCGUCAGCUCGUGUCGUGAGAUGUUGGGUUAAGUCCCGCAACGAGCGCAACCCCUAUUGUUAGUUGCCAUCAUUCAGUUGGGCACUCUAGCGAGACUGCCGGUAAUAAACCGGAGGAAGGUGGGGAUGACGUCAAAUCAUCAUGCCCCUUAUGACCUGGGCUACACACGUGCUACAAUGGUUGGUACAACGAGUUGCGAGUCGGUGACGGCAAGCUAAUCUCUUAAAGCCAAUCUCAGUUCGGAUUGUAGGCUGCAACUCGCCUACAUGAAGUCGGAAUCGCUAGUAAUCGCGGAUCAGCACGCCGCGGUGAAUACGUUCCCGGGCCU
rnacentral:rRNA from 1 species